GGCGUGGGGACUCCAAAACCCACAGUGCAGCGGGUCGGGAGGAAGGGGAGGAGGAGGAACAGGAAAAGCCCGGCCACGCCGGAACAGAGCUGUGCCGGCCCCUGAGUCCCGUACAGGGACAAAUCCCCCUCCGAAAGCGUCGGCAGGGCGUGAAGGAGCCCCUUUUCCACUGCCCUCAGCCAGGCUCCGCUCCUUGCCCAUCUGCCGUGGCCGCUGGGCUGCGGGCCGUGGGGGACGCUGCCCCCGCCUUGGCUGCCUCCGCUGAUUUAUGAUACCCAUGGCUACUUGGAUUUAUUUCUGCACCCCGUUUGUUUCCUGGGGGUGGAUUUGUUCCAGUCUACGCAGUUGUGCCGUAUCCCAGAGGGUCCCGAACAGUUCCCCGCUGUGCUCCAAGCAGAGCUUCCGAAACUUCACAUCCCCUCACCCAGCCUGGCAGCGACCCCCGAGAGUUGCUUAUGGGGGAAGGAGCUGCCCAUCCAGCUGCAGCACCACCCUGCCAGAUGUGCCUCCAGGCUGUGCUGCGCCUGCAGCCCGCUCCAGAGAUCCUUCCCUGCCUCCUGCACUGCUGACCACCAACUGCACGGGGUCCCUGACCUGGCCCUGCGGGUCCUCCAACGGCUUGUGCCGUGGACUGCUGGGCUCCCCCCCACGCUCAGCAUGCCCUUUUCUGGUGCAGCCAGACCUUCCCAGGAAUCACUCUGGAGCUUGAGGCCAUCCUCUAGGGUAAGGUGAUCCCGCCAAGGUGCUGCCUGUGCCGGGCUGCUCUCCCAGCUAGCGCACG
rnacentral:lncRNA from 1 species